rnacentral:rRNA from 1 species
CAGUCGAACGAUGAAGACCGGUGCUUGCACUGGUUGGAUUAGUGGCGAACGGGUGAGUAAUACGUGAGUAACCUGCCUUUGACUCUGGGAUAAGCCUUGGAAACGAGGUCUAAUACCGGAUACGACUAACCUUCGCAUGAAGUGUUAGUGGAAAGGGUUUGUACUGGUUUUAGAUGGGCUCACGGCCUAUCAGCUUGUUGGUGAGGUAAUGGCUCACCAAGGCGACGACGGGUAGCCGGCCUGAGAGGGUGACCGGCCACACUGGGACUGAGACACGGCCCAGACUCCUACGGGAGGCAGCAGUGGGGAAUAUUGCACAAUGGGCGCAAGCCUGAUGCAGCGACGCCGCGUGAGGGAUGACGGCCUUCGGGUUGUAAACCUCUUUCAGCAGGGGAGAAGCGAAAGUGACGGUACCUGCAGAAGAAGCGCCGGCUAACUACGUGCCAGCAGCCGCGGUAAUACGUAGGGCGCGAGCGUUGUCCGGAAUUAUUGGGCGUAAAGAGCUUGUAGGCGGUUUGUCGCGUCUGCUGUGAAAGCCCGGGGCUUAACUCCGGGUUUGCAGUGGGUACGGGCUAACUAGAGUGCAGUAGGGGAGACUGGAAUUCCUGGUGACG